rnacentral:pre_miRNA from 1 species
GUAUCCGUCUGUCCCGAACGGGUCUGUACUCUGGGAGUAGCAUGUGAAGUUUGUAAUAACCAUGACUAGAGGCAGACUCGUUUGGGAAGGGCGGUU